rnacentral:rRNA from 1 species
AGGGCUGCAGUAUAUUGACUGUACAAAGGUAGCAUAAUCAUUAGUCAUUUAAUUGAUGACUUGUAUGAAGGAUUUGAUGAGAUAUAAACUGUCUCUUAUUUAAUUAUAAAAUUUAAUUUUUUUAUUAAAAAGUUAAAAUAUCUUAAAAAGACGAGAAGACCCUAUAGAGUUUAAUAAAUUAUUAUAUUGAGAUUAUAUGUAAAACAAAUUUAAAAUAAAAUUAUUUAUUUUGUUGGGGUGACAAAAAAAUACAUUAAACUUUUUUUUAUUUUAAAACAUUUAUAAGUGAUUAAAUGAUCCAAUAAUAUUGAUUAUGAGAAAAAAUUACCUUAGGGAUAACAGCGUAAUUUUUUUUUUUAGUUCAAAUAAGAAAAAGAGUUUGCGACCUCGAUGUUGGAUUAAGAUAAAAUUUAAA